rnacentral:rRNA from 1 species
ACUCAAAUGAAUUGACGGGGACCCACACAAGCGGUGGAGCAUCUGGUUUAAUUCGACAAUAAGCGAAGAACCUCACCAAGACUUGACAUCCCGGGAAGUCUGCGGAAACGCGGAUGUGCCGUAAGGAACCCGGAGACAGGUGCUGCAUGGUUGUCGUCAGCUCGUGCCUUGAGGUGUUCGGUUAAGUCCGUAAACGAGCGCAACCCAUGUCAUAAGUUGUAUUUUUCUUAUGAGACUGCCGGCUCUAAGUCGGAGGAAGGUAUGGAUGACGUCAAAUCAGCAUGGCCCUUAUGUCUUGGGCGACACAGGUGCUACAAUGGCAUAUACAGUGGGAUGCAACGAAGCAAUUCAGAGCUAAUCUCAAAAACAUGCCUCAGUUCGGAUUGAGGGCUGCAACUCGCCCUCAUGAAGCCGGAAUCGCUAGUAAACGCGAAUCAGCCAUGUCGCGUUGAAUAUGUUCCUGGGUCUUGUACACACCGCCCGU